AUUGAACGCUGGCGGCAUGCUUUACACAUGCAAGUCGAACGGUAACAGGGUGCUUGCACCGCUGACGAGUGGCGAACGGGUGGGUAAUGCGUCGGAACGUGCCGAGUAGUGGGGGAUAACGCAGCGAAAGUUGUGCUAAUACCGCAUACGUACUGAGGUAGAAAGUGGGGGACCUUCGGGCCUCACGCUAUUCGAGCGGCCGACGUCUGAUUAGCUAGUAGGUGAGGUAAAGGCUCACCUAGGCGACGAUCAGUAGCGGGUCUGAGAGGAUGAUCCGCCACACUGGGACUGAGACACGGCCAAGACUCCUACGGGAGGCAGCAGUGGGGAAUUUUGGACAAUGGGCAAAAGCCUGAUCCAGCCAUGCCGCGUGUCUGAAGAAGGCCUUCGGGUUGUAAAGGACUUUUGUCAGGGAGGAAAUCCCUAGUGCUAAUAACACUGGGGGAUGACAGUACCUGAAGAAUAAGCACCGGCUAACUACGUGCCAGCAGCCGCCGUAA
rnacentral:rRNA from 1 species